CAACGCCGCGUGAGUGAUGAAGGCUUUCGGGUCGUAAAACUCUGUUGUUAGGGAAGAACAAGUACGAGAGUAACUGCUCGUACCUUGACGGUACCUAACCAGAAAGCCACGGCUAACUACGUGCCAGCAGCCGCGGUAAUACGUAGGUGGCAAGCGUUAUCCGGAAUUAUUGGGCGUAAAGCGCGCGCAGGCGGUUUCUUAAGUCUGAUGUGAAAGCCCACGGCUCAACCGUGGAGGGUCAUUGGAAACUGGGGAACUUGAGUGCAGAAGAGAAAAGCGGAAUUCCACGUGUAGCGGUGAAAUGCGUAGAGAUGUGGAGGAACACCAGUGGCGAAGGCGGCUUUUUGGUCUGUAACUGACGCUGAGGCGCGAAAGCGUGGGGAGCAAACAGGAUUAGAUACCCUGGUAGUCCACGCCGUAAACGAUGAGUGCUAAGUGUUAGAGGAGAUCCGCCCUUUAGUGCUGCAGCUAACGCAUUAAGCACUCCGCCUGGGGAGUACGGUCGCAAGACUGAAACUCAAAGGAAUUGACGGGGGCCCGCACAAGCGGUGGAGCAUGUGGUUUUUUUAAGCAACGCGAAGAACCUUACCAGGUCUUGACAUCCUCUGACAACUCUAGAGAUAGAG
rnacentral:rRNA from 2 species